rnacentral:rRNA from 1 species
CCUACGGGCGGCAGCAGUGAGGAAUAUUGGUCAAUGGGCGGGAGCCUGAACCAGCCAAGCCGCGUGAAGGAAGAAGGCGCCAAGCGUCGUAAACUUCUUUUGUCGGGGAACAAAGGGCGCCACGUGUGGCGUUGUGAGUGUACCCGAAGAAAAAGCAUCGGCUAACUCCGUGCCAGCAGCCGCGGUAAUACGGGGGAUGCGAGGGUUAUCCAGAUUUAUUGGGUUUAACGGGUGCGUAGGCGGUCCGGAAAGUCAGCGGGAAAAGCCCGGGGCUCAACCCCGGCGAGCCGUUGAAACUGUCGGACUAGAGACGGCGAGAAGUACGCGGAAUGCACGGUGUAGCAGUGAAAUGCAUAGAUAUCGCGCAGAACUCCGAUGGCGAAGGCAGCGUACCGGCGCCGGACUGACGCUGAGGCACGAAAGCGUGGGUAUCGAACAGGAUUAGAUACCCGAGUAGUC